rnacentral:lncRNA from 1 species
UUGAAUUUAAAAUUUUCCUUCUCUUCUCCCCUCCCCCAAGCUUCUAUGAUAUGAAACAAGGAUUUUAAGCAUCGCUACAUUUAAAGAUUUUAGAAGAUAAUGCUUGAUGAUGCCUGUGAUAUGCAGCCUGGGACAAAACACAGAAUUAGAUGCCUAUGAAACAAACGGCACAAAAAACUCCAAUGAACCAUGGGCAUAUGUGCACCCACGUCUGCAGGCUUUCACUCUGUGCUGAGAAAGCAGACACCCAGAUCUGCGGGCAGCACACAGAGCAGCCCAAAUCCUCCCGAGGAUUCUGAGCCUGAGUCCUGUCAUUUCCAAGUUUAUUCUGCACCACCACCCGAGGCAGUACCAACAUGUAAAGGGUGAUCCUACAGAUUGGAGCCACCAUGCUGUUCCCGUGUCUGACAAGCCAAGGACAGGGCAAAGCUGUGGCAGAGGCUCCGGGAAGAAAGAGAAGGCCAGACUGCAAGGGGACCGGGGGAGGCGAUG